rnacentral:rRNA from 1 species
CCUACGGGGGGCAGCAGUGAGGAAUAUUGGUCAAUGGGCGUAAGCCUGAACCAGCCAAGUCGCGUGAGGGAUGAAGGUUCUAUGGAUCGUAAACCUCUUUUAUAAGGGAAUAAAGUGUGGGACGUGUCCUGUUUUGUAUUUACCUUAUGAAUAAGGCUCGGCUAACUCCGUACCAGCAGCCGCGGUAAUACGGAGGAUCCGAGCGUUAUCCGGAUUUAUUGGGUUUAAAGGGUGCGUAGGCGGCCUUUUAAGUCAGCGGUGAAAGUCUGUGGCUCAACCAUAGAAUUGCCGUUGAAACUGGGAGGCUUGAGUAUGUUUGAGGCAGGCGGAAGGCGUGGUGUAGCGGUGAAAUGCUUAGAUAUCACGCAGAACCCCGAUUGCGAAGGCAGCCUGCCAAGCCAUGACUGACGCUGAUGCACGAAAGCGUGGGGAUCAAACAGGAUUAGAUACCCCAGUAGUC